GUGAGGAAUAUUGGACAAUGGGCGCAAGCCUGAUCCAGCCAUGCCGCGUGCAGGAAGACGCAUCUAUGGUGUGUAAACUGCUUUUGUACGGGAAGAAACACUCCCUCGUGAGGGAGCUUGACGGUACCGUAAGAAUAAGGAUCGGCUAACUCCGUGCCAGCAGCCGCGGUAAUACGGAGGAUCCAAGCGUUAUCCGGAAUCAUUGGGUUUAAAGGGUCCGUAGGCGGUUUAAUAAGUCAGUGGUGAAAGCCCAUCGCUCAACGAUGGAACGGCCAUUGAUACUGUUAGACUUGAAUUACAAGGAAGUAACUAGAAUAUGUAGUGUAGCGGUGAAAUGCUUAGAUAUUACACAGAACACCGAUUGCGAAGGCAGCUUACUGGUCCAUUAUUGACGCUGAGGCACGAAAGCGUGGGGAUCGAACAGGAUUAGAUACCCCGGUAGUCC
rnacentral:rRNA from 1 species